GGCAAGCGGCAUUCGACUUUUUUUUUUUUUUAUCCUUUAAACUAAAACGUGGUUAAGAGUCGAAUAAUUUCGUCGGUUUGUUUUACGUGACGAAACAACGUUUUAAAAACUUAAAUGUACGACGUUAAUAAAUACAUUUUCGUUAUUGUAAAAUACGUUGUAAAGUGACCAAACACACCGUUAAAGCAUUUGUUUAUUGUACAUCCGGGUGGUUGGAAAAAUGGUAGCGCAUGCUCAGACACUCAUCUAUUGGACUUAGACUGUUUUUGUGGUCGCCAUCGAUUCCGACAAUAAAACUACGAUAUGAAUUCGUUCGUAGAGCAAUUUUAUUCGCAGAUCGAGAAAUGAUAGUAAGAAUGGAUUAAAGUCAACCAAUGACCGGUUUGAGACCGAUAUCAUGGCGACAACUGGAAAAUUUUCUAAGUUCAAACCUGUAGUUAUAUGGAUUUUAUAAACGUUGUAAUUGAUUACUUUAUCUUGAAAUCUCGACAUGUCUGACGCUGAAAUUUCAAAACAAUACGGGAGUCCUCAACCCGUCCAUACUUCGACUGCACCUCAACAUGGUAAAUCAAAUUUUUCUUUUCUUCUCUUUAAACUUAUCUCUAAAUAAUCCAAUUCGGUUUUUUUUUUAA